GGAACCUCACUUGUUAUCCAUUAGCCCUCUGAUCCUCAUCAAGGUCGCCAUGCCCUAUAGCGAGUGCUGAGAACAGCUCAAUGCCAUCUCCUGUGUCACAGCUACACUGAAGGGGGACAGACCGAGUCGGACGAGACUUAACUUGAGACAAACCGCUCGUGUCCCAUGGCUCCCAUUCUUACUCAGAGCUCUGAGGUCCAGAGCUUCACCUGAGAAGCUCCCGACUGGCCCUGAGUGAGUCACACCCUCAUUCCCAGCAGCCUCAGCGCCUAGGACAAAUGGUUCAGUGACCAUUUACUGCUAUAAAAAUAAAGAACAAAACCACA
rnacentral:lncRNA from 1 species